rnacentral:rRNA from 1 species
GUCCACGCAGUAAACGAUGAUAACUCGUUGUCGGGCGAUAUACUGCUCGGUGACCAAGCGAAAGCGAUAAGUUAUCCACCUGGGGAGUACGUUCGCAAGAAUGAAACUCAAAGGAAUUGACGGGGGCCCCGCACAAGCGGAGGAACAUGUGGUUUAAUUCGAUGAUACGCGAGGAACCUUACCCGGGCUUGAAAGUUAGUGAUCGACGGUGAAAGCCGUUUUCCCUUAGGGGCACGAAACUAGGUGCUGCAUGGUUGUCGU